rnacentral:rRNA from 1 species
GACGAACGCUGGCGGCGUGCCUAACACAUGCAAGUCGAACGAAACGUCCGGGUUUUUGGGCGUCCGGGGGUGGAACGGGAGGGGAGAAGCACGUAGGUACCGACUAACUACAAGAAAGGGGUGCUCAUGCCAGAGAGGAUCUUAUGACGAAAGAUCUAUUGCCGUGGGUUGGGCGCGAGUGGGAUUAGGUAGUUGGUAGGGUUAAAGAGGACUGAGGCGGCGAUCCUGCGCUGGGCUGCGAGGAUGAUCAGCAACACUAGGACUGAGACACGGCCCGGACUCCUACGGCAUGCGGCAGAAGAGAGUAUUGGACAAUGGGCGAAAGACUGAUCCAGCAACGCCGCGUAAGUGAUGAAGGCCUUAGGGUUGUAAAGCUCUAUUACCCGAGAUGAUAAUGGCAGUACCGGGAGAAUAAGCGCCGGCUAACUCCGUG